UUACCCAAUCCCGAUUCGGGGAGGUAGUGACAAUAAAUAACAAUACAGGGCCAACGGUCUUGUUAUUGGAAUGAGAACAAUUUAAAUAACUUAACGAGGAUCAAUUAGAGGGCAAGUCUGGUGCCAGCAGCCGCGGUAAUUCCAGCUCUAAUAGCGUAUAUUAAAGUUGUUGCAGUUAAAAAGCUCGUAGUCGGAUGUCGGGCUCGGGCAAGCUGUCGGCCUUUGGUCGGACGGCAGGCUCGGGUCUUUCUGCCUGAGGAACCCGGUUGCUUUAACGAGCUGCCGGUGGACGCAGGUCGUUUACUUUGAAAAAAUUAGAGUGUUCAAAGCAGGCUAGCGCUUGAAUACAUUAGCAUGGAAUAAUGGAAUAGGACUUUGGUGCUAUUUUGUUGGUUUAUGGGACCGAAGUAAUGAUUAACAGGGACAGUUGGGGCCGUUUAUAUUUCGUUGUCAGAGGUGAAAUUCUUGGAUUUACGAAAGAUAAACUUCUGCGAAAGCAUUCGGCAAGGAUGUUUUCAUUGAUCAAGAACGAAAGUUAGGGGAUCGAAGACGAUCAAAUACCGUCGUAGUCUUAACCAUAAACUAUGCCG
rnacentral:rRNA from 1 species